CCUACGGGAGGCAGCAGUGGGGAAUAUUGCACAAUGGGGGAAACCCUGAUGCAGCGACGCCGCGUGAGUGAGGAAGUAUUUCGGUAUGUAAAGCUCUAUCAGCAGGGAAGAAAAUGACGGUACCUGACUAAGAAGCCCCGGCUAACUAAGUGCCAGCAGCCGCGGUAAUACGUAGGGGGCAAGCGUUAUCCGGAUUUACUGGGUGUAAAGGGAGCGUAGACGGAAUAGCAAGUCUGAUGUGAAAACCCGGGGCUCAACUCCGGGAGUGCAUUGGAAACUGUUGAUCUAGAGUGUCGGAGAGGCAAGCGGAAUUCCUAGUGUAGCAGUGAAAUGCGUAGAUAUCGGGAGGAACACUAGUGGCGAAGGCGGGUUCCUGGACAUUAACUGACGCUGAGGCACGAAGGCCAGGGGAGCGAAAGGGAUUAGAUACCCGGGUAGUC
rnacentral:rRNA from 1 species